rnacentral:rRNA from 1 species
AAUGAACGCUAGCGGGAGGCCUAACACAUGCAAGCCGAGCGGUAUUGUUUCUUCGGACAUGAGAGAGCGGCGUACGGGUGCGUAACACGUGUGCAACCUGCCUUUAUCUGGGGGAUAGCCUUUCGAAAGGAAGAUUAAUACUCCAUAAUAUAUUGAACGGCAUCGUUUAAUAUUGAAAGCUCCGGCGGAUAGAGAUGGGCACGCGCAAGAUUAGCUAGUUGGUGAGGUAACGGCUCACCAAGGCGAUGAUCUUUAGGGGGCCUGAGAGGGUGAUCCCCCACACUGGUACUGAGACACGGACCAGACUCCUACGGGAGGCAGCAGUGAGGAAUAUUGGUCAAUGGGUGCAAGCCUGAACCAGCCAUCCCGCGUGAAGGACGACUGCCCUAUGGGUUGUAAACUUCUUUUGUAUAGGGAUAAACCUACCCUCGUGAGGGUAGCUGAAGGUACUAUACGAAUAAGCACCGGCUAACUCCGUG